rnacentral:rRNA from 1 species
UACGGGGGGAGCAAGCGUUGUUCGGAUUUACUGGGCGUAAAGGGCGCGUAGGCGGCGCAACAAGUCACUUGUGAAAUCUCCGGGCUUAACCCGGAGCGGCCAAGUGAUACUGUCGUGCUAGAGUGCGGAAGGGGCUACUGGAAUUCUCGGUGUAGCGGUGAAAUGCGUAGAUAUCGAGAGGAACACCUGCGGCGAAGGCGGCUUGCUGGGCCUUACCUGACGCUGAGGAGCGAGAGCGUGGGGAGCGAACAGG